GUUUCGUUCAACUAAUUGAACUUCCUCAGGGGCAAUAAAAGUUCUCCUUUUAGCCGGCACUAAGAUAAUUUUUAUUGCCCCUGAGGAAGUUCAAUUAGUUGAACGAAAC